UGUUUUUUGCCCCCAGCACUGCAUGGAAGGCACUAGGGUUAGGCAAGGGUUAGGGUUAGGUUUGGGUUAAAACACAGCGCCCAGAAUGGGUGCUGCGAGGGGCACGGGCACAAGGGGA